rnacentral:lncRNA from 1 species
AGCUGCUUUUCAGUAUCUUUUUAACCUAAGAGUAUUUGGCUUUAUUCUGAUUCUUGUCACAGUUUUACCACACUUGGAAGUAAUCUCUCACCUUCUGAACAACCAUGACAUCCCUCCAAAAUGUCCAUCCCCCACUGGUGGUUACUCUGAAAUAUUACUCAGUCUACUGAGCAGUGAAAGUUGACUCAAGGGGGAAGAUAAGAGAGAAGGAAAAGAGCCAUGAGCAAGGAGACCAGAGGCUGCAGGUCUUCUGCAAAUGACCAAGGGACCUAUUUGUGGACUGAAAAAACAGUUUAAGUAAUUUUCAUUGUUUGAAUUAAAUCUCUCCAUCUAGCAAUGUCA